rnacentral:lncRNA from 1 species
AGGCUGUCCUGUCUCUCUUGACUGGGUUCUUAACACUGUGCAGGGCAGCAGGAGGGAGCCCAGAGGGGUUCUGUGGUUCUUUUGCUAGUGCUGAUAAUAACAGCCAAGAGCAAUAAUAAUAGUGACAGCGCCUUCGGUUACUGUGAGGAAUUCUUGCACAGGGCAUCGAGGUGUAUUUUGAAAGGGUGAAACAGUGACUUCUGUCCUGCCAGUUUCCUCCCCCAGUUUCCCCAGGCUCACAUUAGCAGGAAAGAAAGACUCCACCAGCCGGUAUGGGUACUCUGGCAGCCAUCGCUGGGCAUUUAUAGAUGACCGCCUGUUCCUGGCCAGAGACCCUCAUUUUGUUCAGAAGUCAGAGGACCUCUUGCCUCCUUGAGGCCAGGCCCUGCCCCAGCCCCAUGGAUGACUCAUGAUUGGUCUAAACUGUGUCAGCAAUUCCUACAUAUUGGCGGGGCGCUUGUGUGAUUCUGACCGGUGAGAUCCGAGGGCAGGUAUAAGGGGGGUCUGUGCUUGAAGAUUUUCCUCUCGCUUACAAAGGAACUGGAGGAAGGGUUUAGUAGGGUGCCUGGAACUGUAGUGACCUUUUUGCUGCUACAAGGAUAGUCAAAUCCUAAGGUUGAUGAGCCACAAAAGGGCAAUUGAGUGCCCGGCCUGGGUUCACGUCACUUAGCAUCCUAGUCUUCUAGUUUCUCAGGUGCUCAGUACACCCAGGUGCCACAGGACCUUUGUCCAUUCUACUCCUUCUACCUGCAGGACUAUUCUUCCCUUCUUCCUAGUUAGCACCUCUUGCCCCCUCAGAUCUUAGAUCCAAUGAUAUCCAACAAAAACAAACCCAGACUUAGAUAGGGAGAGACUUCAGUUGGAAAGAGAGACUCGGACACUGUGGCUCUCCUUAACGACGCUGUAUUGCACAGUUGUGAUUGGCUGAGCGAAUAGAUCUUAAGUGUUUCUGCCACAAAUAAGAAGGUAACUCUAUGAGGCGAUGUACAGGCUAAUUGUUUCAAUCGUCAUCAUCAUUUUACAACAUAUUCAUAUAUCAAAAC